UCCGAGUUGACCCCGGCAGUCUCCUGCGAGUCCCCGCCAUUACGCGCUGGCAACACAGGACAAGGGUUGCGCUCGUUGCGGGACUUAACCCAACAUCUCACGACACGAGCUGACGACAGCCAUGCACCACCUGUAUACCGACCACAAGGGGGGCCGUAUCUCUACGGCUUUUCCCCACAUGUCAAGCCUUGGUAAGGUUCUUCGCGUUGCAUCGAAUUAAGCAACAUGCUCCGCCGCUUGUGCGGGCCCCCGUCAAUUCGAAGCAACGCGCAGAACCUU
rnacentral:misc_RNA from 1 species